CAGUACGUGAAAGGAGCAGUAUGUCCGAAAUCCUCAGUAAUCAUAAAUGAGUAGUCGAGAAGUUCCCGGAUGGCCUACUGCUCCCGCCCAGAUUCUGAAGUGUUCAUCCGAUGGACACUCUUCUAUCCCAGGAGGCCACGGGAGAGGUACGUCACACUCGAACACGGAGGAUAAAAGCGGCGCGGAUGUUUUCAAAUGGACAGAUGAGCACACGUGUGUUUAUCCAGUGGAGAGAGGCUGAUGAAGGAAUGAUGGCAUCAAUGGCUUUGAGGAUGAUCCCCAUGGAGUAACCUGGAGUAAAGUGUCUUGAUUAAGGACGGUGACGGCUGCGGAGAUCGAACCAGCAACAUUCUGCUUACCUUUAGCCCACUACACCACUAAAAUAAUAAAGCUGAAACAAAAAGAUAGCACGUAAUUGUAAAAAUAUUGAAUGAAAUAUGGCAGGAAACAGAAUUCUGACAUGAAUUAUUAAACAUUUCAAUCAGUUUAAAUGUUUUACAUGUAGUCUUGUUCAUGGAGAGCACAUGAAUGUUUGGAGCAGAUACAGCUGCAGCCAGAUUGUCCCGCACAUCUUCUCCCUCCUCUGGAUCAAAGAUGACCCCAUUGAGAGGAGCAGCAAUGAGGGACGUUAUAGAUGGCAAAGACAGGUGAAGGUGUUCAUGGUGGUCAGCUGCUUCAUCAAAAUAAAGCUGCAGAAUUGGCACAGCUGUGUGAGAUGGCAGCAGGGCUGAAAUAUGCGAUUGUAAGAACAAUAAGUUUGAAUAAAGCUUUGUUUCAUGUGUUGUUGA